GGAGGGUACAAGCGUUAAUCGGAAUUACUGGGCGUAAAGCGCGCGUAGGCGGUUAAGUAAGUUGGAUGUGAAAGCCCUGGGCUCAACCUAGGAACUGCAUUCAAAACUAUUUAACUAGAGUACGAGAGAGGAGAGUAGAAUUUCUGGUGUAGCGGUGAAAUGCGUAGAUAUCAGAAGGAAUACCAAUGGCGAAGGCAGCUCUCUGGAUCGUCACUGACGCUAAGGUGCGAAAGCGUGGGUAGCAAACAGGAUUAGAUACCCUGGUAGUCCACGCCGUAAACGAUGAGAACUAGCCGUUGGGGAGAAUUAACUCUCCAGUGGCACAGCUAACGCAUUAAGUUCUCCGCCUGGGGACUACGGCCGCAAGGCUAAAACUCAAAUGAAUUGACGGGGGCCCGCACAAGCGGUGGAUCAUGUGGUUUAAUUCGAUGCAACGCGAAGAACCUUACCUACCCUUGAAAUCCAGCGAAGUUCCUAGAGAUAGGAAUGUGCCUUCGGGAACGCUGUGACAGGUGUUGCAUGGCUGUCGUCAGCUCGUGUCGUGAGAUGUAUGGUUAAGUCCAGUAACGAGCGCAACCCCUAUCCUUAUUUGCCAGCGCAUAAUGGCGGGAACUAUAAGGAGACUGCCGGUCAUAAACCGGAGGAAGGCGGGGACGACGUCAAGUCAUCAUGGCCCUUAUGGGUAGGGCUACACACGUGAUACAAUGGGUGGUACAGAGGGUCGCCAAAGCGCGAGCUGGAGCCAAACCCUUAAAACCAUUCUUAGUCCGGAUUGGAGUCUGCAACUCGACUCCAUGAAGUUGGAAUCGCUAGUAAUCGCGAAUCAGAAUGUCGCGGUGAAUACGUUCUCGGGCCUU
rnacentral:rRNA from 1 species